AGGGGGGCGGGGGGGAGAUCGUGAAGUCAGUCUGGGAAGGAAAGCCGGAGUGAAUGCCUUGCUGGUAUGAUGGCGGGGGCGUGAUGAUCGUGUGCGCGUGUGUAUGUGUUUAUUAUGUAUGGACGUGUGGGUGUGUGGGUGUGGGUGUGCCUGCGCUACUUUGUCCGGUUGAAAGGACAGACGGUGUAUGUCUUAAUUAGGCUUCAGGCUCGCUUACCAAUUGGAAGGUAGAGUGAAGGCACGUGAGUGAGAGUGUGCUGCGAGGGAGUGAGUGUACUGCGCUUGCUGGUGAGGGGGGGGGACGGGGUCGGAAUGGAGUGCACACAUCGCCGACUGAGGGGAAGGUGUGGGCUAAAGCUGUGUGCUGCCGUUUAGCUUCUUUUGGCUGCUGGAUGGCGCCCUGCUGGGCUCAGAUCUCAACAAGUGAGACGGUCCAAUGGCCUGGGGGGCUGACCGUAGCGCUGCGAGGGAGUGCUGCGGGUGUGCUACAUGACUGCCUGUGUCCCCUCCCGCUGAGCUCUCACCAUGUGCCGCACAGCGCUGCUGAACGCGCAGCGGUGCAGCGCGUGUAGGUGUGAUGCAGAUUGGCCUGCAGGGGGGUGGGUGGGUGGACGGUGCGUCGUGUCAUGAUGUGAUGCGAUGUGUAGAAGCUGACUCCACGAGAGUAUCUAUUUGUGUUCUGCAGGUUUUGGAUAUCUAACGGAAACCCAACCGCUGCCUUACCAGCCCUUUACCAGCUCUCCCCUUGUGGCCUCGCAUGCUCAUGUGUGGUUUCCUCUUCUAUCUCGGCUUGACUGUGCUUAGCCAGGGGUCGCUGACACGGGACUCAACAUCUCCGUUGUUGACACACCAGAGGCACCUCCCUUAUAGUGUGUCGGGUGUGGGUGCCGCAAGUUCAAGGAGGGGUUCGUGAGGGCAUCCCGAGUAGCAGUCUGAUCUAGAGCUCGCUUCUGUCCCACCUCUCGCUGGCUCCUCUCGACAGCGAAGCCAAGGCAUGGAGGCAGCGUAAGGCAGCUUAAGGAUGUAGCACCAGAAUGAAAUGGCACCCACAGGGGCUGUAAUGAUGGCAGUUGGGGUUUGCCAGUGGAGCUAAUCACCCAAGCGGCUAAAAGCGGCUACCGUUGUUCAGCA
rnacentral:lncRNA from 1 species